rnacentral:misc_RNA from 1 species
UGUGGGAGCGAGCUUGCUCGCGAUAGCGUCAGGUCAGUCGCCAUCAAUAUUGACUGAUACACCGCCAUCGCGAGCAAGCUCGCUCCCACA